CAACUGGUAAAGCCACAAGUGCCAGCCCCAUGCUAGAACUGUACCAGACUGCAGUUACUGUAUGCCUUUAAUGAAUGAUGCAGCUGCUAUAUUAAUUUGGCUUCCAUAAACAUUAGAAAAUAGUAUAUCUAUUUUCAUAAAUACAUUUAAAGUUAUGAUAUACCUUAUAUGUUAUAGGCAUAUAUUGACCUUACAGCAGGUAUCGUCAGUGUAUGACAGUCCUGUACUUAGCUCACCAUUGAUUUUCUGUGCAAAUUUGAGUAUCGCUGUUGAAGCAAGAUGCACAGAAAUUGGAGAAAGCCCAGACAAGAUGAGAUAAGGUUGAACAACUUGGGAUAGGCACAUUCAGAAAAGUCUUAGGAACACCAGGUCUUCAAAUAUGUGAAAGGCUGCCAGUGAAAAAGAAGAGAAUAACCUGACCUCCUUGUCCACAAGUCAGGAGCUCGUUCAGACAUUAGGAAAACUUCCUGACAGUUGUGACAGUGAAGCACCCAACUGGAUCACUGGGAGAGACUGCAGGAUCUGUGUCACUGAAGGUCUUAAAAAAGCAGUUAGAAAAUAACUCUCAGGAAGAGAGAAAGAUAGGUAGAGCUGAUCCUGCCUUGGUGCAGGGCCAUGAACUUUGAAGACCAUUUCUCUGGAGCAUGUAUUUUCAGUAUUACCACCUGAAUGAAAAAGGCUCAUUCUCAAAAGCAAGCAAGAAUUCUCCCUCUAAAGACCAAAAGACCAGUGCUAGUCAGUGGUAAAAGCUUCAGAAUGAGGGUUGGUGCCUGCAGACUUCUGUGUAGUAAAUGCAAGUGUCUGGAGGAAUUGGCUACUGCCCAUUCCUGGUCUUCAACCAUCACCCAUGUACUGGAAAUGCAACAGCAGACAUGACAAAGGAGCAAUUAUCCCAACAAAAUCAGUUAUUACCAGUGAUUCAUAUGAUUCCUCCUGGGAACAGCAAUUUUGCCAUGGGACACCAGAGAUGCAGGGAUGGUCUGCCUAACUAGGACACCAACAUAUGCUUCAAAGUCUGGCCAGAUGGUGCUGGCCAGUGAUGUUUUCUACAAGCCUUCAUCUCCCUGCUGAGAUCAAGCCAAGCCAUGGUCCCCUGCAGAGCUGGCGUGGAGGUUUCUCAUCUGCCUUCACCCACCAGCACAGCUCUGUGAGCCCCUCCCCAGCUCCCCACUGGCAUCAGUGGAUCCAUAGCGGCAUCCCCAAGCACAGCCAUGCCCUGCCUUACAUCUUCCUGCAACAGCUCCUGGAUGCCUCUUGCCCCUUCCCUUCCCAGUGCAGGAGGCACCCAAACCUCUCCCUCACGUAGCAGAAGGAAACGGAGAAGAUUAAACAGCAACAAGCAUUGUUUAGAGGCACCUUUCCUUUAUAUUAAUUACCUGCAGGCUUCCAGCACCAAAGAUCAGUGUGGGAAGUCCUGCUUUUCACCAUCAUCCAAAACCCUCCUGUGCACGUGCAGAAGUGAGCUCGGAAAGGCCAGCUGGUUCUAGCAAUCCUGGUUUGAAAACCAUAUGAUAAACACUAGUAUAUAAUAUAAAAGACGUGCAGAUGUGGUGCUUAGGGACAUGUUUUAGUGGUGGAUUUAGCAGUGUUAGGUUAACAGUUGGACUCGAUGACCUUAAGGGUCGUUUCCAACCUAAAUGAUUCUAUGAUUCUGUAUUUCUAAAUAUAGCUAAACACAUCAGCAGCAGUGAAGACAUGCAAGCAUAUCUGUUAUAUUGCUGCUCAUUGUUUCCUUUUUUUUUUCCAACUCUCUCUUUCUGCUUAAUAAAUAUCUGCCAAAUCUGUUUCAUGGUUAUUCACACUUUAAACAUUGAGAUUUGUAGUGGUUUCCUACCACUGUUAGAUGUUUUUCAUCUGAAAGCCACUGUUCUCAUUUAGGCCUGUUGAAAGUGUGGCAACAUUUCUGUUAGUCUUGGGGUUUAUAAUGUUGUUUUAGUGAAAAGCAUGCAUGGGUUUGGAUUUAGGAGAACAUUGUCUCUUUAAUACAGAUAGAUAAAGAAAGCAGUGUAUUGUAUUUAUCAAAAGGAAAUGUCAGCAGAACUUUAUAGUCUGGUAAUUAGAUAACGCAGAUAAGUCUGCUGAGUUUGUGUGCUCACAACUGCCGUUCCAGAUAACACUUCCUGAAGUCAAUUAUAAGAACUUACUUACUCAAUAUGGUAAAUUUUUUUGUGGCUACUUUAAACUGUACUG